rnacentral:lncRNA from 1 species
GAAUAAAUGUCUUCACCAUUUCUCUGCCUUUGGGGCACAGUGAGCAUUUUAUCUGUGAAAAGGUGUCUGCCUCACCCCCAGAUAUUAGGACUAGGAUGUAUAUCUAGCCUUGUGAAAAGAUUGAGAGCCUAUUUUAGAGCAUCUUAAACUAUUCGAAACUGCCCUUUUCCACCCUAAGUUACUCUUGUCCCUGAUGUCUCUUGUCCAAUGAAAAAGAUCCACUACAGUUCACAUUCACUCAGUAGGAUUUCAACUUUUGUUUUCUCUUUCCCUAUACCCCUAAAUCUGACACCAGCCAUGUUUUCCAAUGCCACUGAGACUCUCUGUGGUCUUACAACAUUCAGAAAGAGCAAGAGUCAUCUUCCUGCAUUAAGUCCUAGGAUUUAUAUGAACAGCCCCAGGCACUGUCUGCUAAGGAAGUUUAUGCAGUGACCAAGGUGCUUUUAGAGAUUGAAACCCUGCACUUGGGUCCCAUGGUUUUGUGCCUGGAAGUAGGCAGCCAAAGCCAGCAUGAACACACACUGAAAUGGAGCUUUCUCCUCCUCCAUCAUUAAAAAAGAAUCAAAAAGUCCUGCUAGC